GGAAUAUAAGAACCCGUUUCUUAAUUUUUAACUAAAAAAAUUAAGAACCGGCACUUAAAACUCUUAUUUAAGAACCGAUUCUUAGCUUUUUUAGUUAAAAGUUAAAAAACGGAUUCUUAUAUUCC
rfam:Brassica napus, WGS project CCCW01000000 data, contig: 9132